UCAACAUCUAUAUUAAUAGAUGUGAAGAACAGAGGGAUGAAACUGUAAAUGAUUAUUUUAAAAAUCAUUUCUCUGGCUUCUGUAACAAAUCCAAUAACACUUCUGGUGCAGAUUUAUAUUUUUUAACUUCUUAUUGAGAAGAGUGUUUAUUCUUAGGAACAUGUGCGGUAUAGAUGGGUAGCGGGCAUGAGCGAUAUGUGCCUCCUCAAGAAAGGAAGAGCUUGAAACAUCUAUAAGGAGAAUCUCAAAGAUGGCUAAUCCAUGUGCAAAUUAUCUAAAGUUUUUGCUACGUAACCAUUUUUAAAAUUUCUUGCCUGUAAUUUAAAGCACAGUGACUCACCGAUCUUGAACUAAGUAAAACAUACUUUGGGUACUCAGACUAUACUCAAAACAACAUCUGUAAAUUGAGUCAGAUGUGCUUCCUAAACCUUAGCGCUGAGGGAAAAAAACC
rnacentral:lncRNA from 1 species